rnacentral:rRNA from 1 species
AUAUCAUUAAGCGGAGGAAAAGAAACUAACAAGGAUGCCCCCAGUAACUGCGAGUGAAGCGGGCAAAGCUCAACCUGAAAAUCGGGCGUUUCUCAACGUUCGAAUUGUGGGCUAGAGACACGUUGCCAGUGUGUGACCCAGGUAUAAGUCCUUUGGAAAAAGGCAUCAUAGAGGGUGAGAAUCCCGUCUUUGACCUGGCGAGCCACGUCCGGUGCGUAUUCACAGAGUCGAGUUGCUUGGGAUUGCAGCUCUAAUCGGGUGGUAAAUCUCAUCUAAAGCUAAAUAUCGACGAGAGACCGAUAGCGCACAAGUA